AGCUCAGUGUUAGAGCACUUGCUUUGUAUGCAUGAGACCCUGAGUUUGAAUCCCAG
rnacentral:tRNA from 1 species